rnacentral:rRNA from 1 species
GGGUUGUGAGGUUAAGCGACUAAGCGUACACGGUGGAUGCCCUGGCAGUCAGAGGCGAUGAAGGGCGUGCUAAUCUGCGAUAAGCGCCGGUAAGGUGAUAUGAACCGUUAUAACCGGCGAUACCCGAAUGGGGAAACCCAGUGUGAUUCGUCACACUAUCAUUAACUGAAUCCAUAGGUUAAUGAGGCGAACCGGGGGAACUGAAACAUCUAAGUACCCCGAGGAAAAGAAAUCAACCGAGAUUCCCCCAGUAGCGGCGAGCGAACGGGGAGGAGCCCAGAGCCUGAAUCAGCAUGUGUGUUAGUGGAAGCGUCUGGAAAGGCGCGCGAUACAGGGUGACAGCCCCGUACACAAAAGCGCAUGUGCUGUGAGCUCGAUGAGUAGGGCGGGACACGUGGUAUCCUGUCUGAAUAUGGGGGGACCAUCCUCCAAGGCUAAAUACUCCUGACUGACCGAUAGUGAACCAGUACCGUGAGGGAAAGGCGAAAAGAACCCCGGCGAGGGGAGUGAAAAAGAACCUGAAACCGUGUACGUACAAGCAGUGGGAGCACAGGUUUACCUGUGUGACUGCGUACCUUUUGUAUAAUGGGUCAGCGACUUAUAUUCUGUAGCAAGGUUAACCGUAUAGGGGAGCCGGAGGGAAACCGAGUCUUAAUUGGGCGUUAAGUUGCAGGGUAUAGACCCGAAACCCGGUGAUCUAGCCAUGGGCAGGUUGAAGGUUGGGUAACACUAACUGGAGGACCGAACCGACUAAUGUUGAAAAAUUAGCGGAUGACCUGUGGCUGGGGGUGAAAGGCCAAUCAAACCGGGAGAUAGCUGGUUCUCCCCGAAAGCUAUUUAGGUAGCGCCUCGUGAAUUCAUCUCCGGGGGUAGAGCACUGUUUCGGCUAGGGGGCCAUCCCGGCUUACCAACCCGAUGCAAACUGCGAAUACCGGAGAAUGUUAUCACGGGAGACACACGGCGGGUGCUAACGUCCGUCGUGAAGAGGGAAACAACCCAGACCGCCAGCUAAGGUCCCAAAGUCAUGGUUAAGUGGGAAACGAUGUGGGAAGGCCCAGACAGCCAGGAUGUUGGCUUAGAAGCAGCCAUCAUUUAAAGAAAGCGUAAUAGCUCACUGGUCGAGUCGGCCUGCGCGGAAGAUGUAACGGGGCUAAACCAUGCACCGAAGCUGCGGCAGCGACGUUUAUGCGUUGUUGGGUAGGGGAGCGUUCUGUAAGCCUGCGAAGGUGGCCUGUGAGGGUUGCUGGAGGUAUCAGAAGUGCGAAUGCUGACAUAAGUAACGAUAAAGCGGGUGAAAAGCCCGCUCGCCGGAAGACCAAGGGUUCCUGUCCAACGUUAAUCGGGGCAGGGUGAGUCGACCCCUAAGGCGAGGCCGAAAGGCGUAGUCGAUGGGAAACGGGUUAAUAUUCCCGUACUUGGUGUUACUGCGAAGGGGGGACGGAGAAGGCUAUGUUGGCCGGGCGACGGUUGUCCCGGUUUAAGCGUGUAGGCUGGUUUUCCAGGCAAAUCCGGAAAAUCAAGGCUGAGGCGUGACGACGAGGCACUACGGUGCUGAAGCAACAAAUGCCCUGCUUCCAGGAAAAGCCUCUAAGCAUCAGGUAACAUCAAAUCGUACCCCAAACCGACACAGGUGGUCAGGUAGAGAAUACCAAGGCGCUUGAGAGAACUCGGGUGAAGGAACUAGGCAAAAUGGUGCCGUAACUUCGGGAGAAGGCACGCUGACACGUAGGUGAAGUGAUUUACUCAUGGAGCUGAAGUCAGUCGAAGAUACCAGCUGGCUGCAACUGUUUAUUAAAAACACAGCACUGUGCAAACACGAAAGUGGACGUAUACGGUGUGACGCCUGCCCGGUGCCGGAAGGUUAAUUGAUGGGGUCAGCGCAAGCGAAGCUCCUGAUCGAAGCCCCGGUAAACGGCGGCCGUAACUAUAACGGUCCUAAGGUAGCGAAAUUCCUUGUCGGGUAAGUUCCGACCUGCACGAAUGGCGUAAUGAUGGCCAGGCUGUCUCCACCCGAGACUCAGUGAAAUUGAACUCGCUGUGAAGAUGCAGUGUACCCGCGGCAAGACGGAAAGACCCCGUGAACCUUUACUAUAGCUUGACACUGAACAUUGAGCCUUGAUGUGUAGGAUAGGUGGGAGGCUUUGAAGCGUGGACGCCAGUCUGCGUGGAGCCGACCUUGAAAUACCACCCUUUAAUGUUUGAUGUUCUAACGUGGACCCGUAAUCCGGGUUGCGGACAGUGUCUGGUGGGUAGUUUGACUGGGGCGGUCUCCUCCUAAAGAGUAACGGAGGAGCACGAAGGUUGGCUAAUCCUGGUCGGACAUCAGGAGGUUAGUGCAAUGGCAUAAGCCAGCUUGACUGCGAGCGUGACGGCGCGAGCAGGUGCGAAAGCAGGUCAUAGUGAUCCGGUGGUUCUGAAUGGAAGGGCCAUCGCUCAACGGAUAAAAGGUACUCCGGGGAUAACAGGCUGAUACCGCCCAAGAGUUCAUAUCGACGGCGGUGUUUGGCACCUCGAUGUCGGCUCAUCACAUCCUGGGGCUGAAGUAGGUCCCAAGGGUAUGGCUGUUCGCCAUUUAAAGUGGUACGCGAGCUGGGUUUAGAACGUCGUGAGACAGUUCGGUCCCUAUCUGCCGUGGGCGCUGGAGAACUGAGGGGGGCUGCUCCUAGUACGAGAGGACCGGAGUGGACGCAUCACUGGUGUUCGGGUUGUCAUGCCAAUGGCACUGCCCGGUAGCUAAAUGCGGAAGAGAUAAGUGCUGAAAGCAUCUAAGCACGAAACUUGCCCCGAGAUGAGUUCUCCCUGAGACUUAGAGUCUCCUGAAGGAACGUUGAAGACGACGACGUUGAUAGGCCGGGUGUGUAAGCGCAGCGAUGCGUUGAGCUAACCGGUACUAAUGAACCGUGAGGCUUAACCUUACAACGCCGAAG